AUUGAACGCUGGCGGCAGGCCUAACACAUGCAAGUCGAACGGUAGCACAGAGAGCUUGCUCUCGGGUGACGAGUGGCGGACGGGUGAGUAACGUCUGGGAAACUGCCCGAUGGAGGGGGAUAACUACUGGAAACGGUAGCUAAUACCGCAUAACGUCGCAAGACCAAAGUGGGGGACCUUCGGGCCUCACACCAUCGGAUGUGCCCAGAUGGGAUUAGCUAGUAGGUGGGGUAAUGGCUCACCUAGGCGACGAACCCUAGCUGGUCUGAGAGGAUGACCAGCCACACUGGAACUGAGCCACGGUCCAGACUCCUACGGGAGGCAGCAGUGGGGGAUAUUGCCCAAGGGGCGCAAGCCUGAUGCAGCCAUGCCGCGUGUACGAAGAAGGCCUUCGGGUUGUAAAGUACUUUCAGCGGGGAGGAAGGCGGUGAAGUUAAUAACUUCACCGAUUGACGUUACCCGCAGAAGAAGCACCGGCUAACUCCGUGCCAGCAGCCGCCGUAA
rnacentral:rRNA from 1 species